GGAAGUAAAAGUCGUAACCAAGGUCUCCGUUGGUGAACCAGCGGAGGGAUCAUUACCGAGUGCAAACUCAUAACCCUUUGUGAACCUAUAUCUGUUGCUUCGGCGGCUCGCUCUCGGGCGAGCCCGCCGGUAAUAUCAGUAUCUCUGUUUGAACCCGACGAUACUUCUGAGUGUUCUUAGCGAACAGUUAAAACUUUUAACAACGGAUCUCUUGGCUCUA
rnacentral:misc_RNA from 1 species